rnacentral:rRNA from 1 species
CCUACGGGUGGCUGCAGUGGGGAAUAUUGCGCAAUGGGCGAAAGCCUGACGCAGCGACGCCGCGUGAGGGAUGAAGGUCUUCGGAUCGUAAACCUCUGUCAGCAGGGAAGAACGGUCACUGUGCUAAUCAGCAGUGAAUUGACGGUACCUGCAAAGGAAGCACCGGCUAACUCCGUGCCAGCAGCCGCGGUAAUACGGAGGGUGCGAGCGUUAAUCGGAAUUACUGGGCGUAAAGCGCUCGUAGGCGGGAUGUCAAGUCAAGGGUGAAAUCCCCGCGCUCAACGUGGGAACUGCCUUUGAAACUGGUGAACUGGAGGGUGUGAGAGGAUAGUGGAAUUCCAGGUGUAGGAGUGAAAUGCGUAGAUAUCUGGAGGAACAUCAGUGGCGAAGGCGACUAUCUGGCACAUAACUGACGCUGAGGAGCGAAAGCGUGGGUAGCAAACAGGAUUAGAUACCCGUGUAGUC